GGUCCGCUGGCUCAAUGGCAGAGCGUCUGACUACGAUUCCUUCGGGAGCAAGUAAUCAGGAGGUUCCAGGUUCGACCCCUGGGUGGAUCG